rnacentral:rRNA from 1 species
AUGAACGCUAGCGACAGGCUUAACACAUGCAAGUCGAGGGGCAGCACAGGUAGCAAUACCGGGUGGCGACCGGCGCACGGGUGAGUAACGCGUAUGCAACUUGCCUAUCAGAGGGGGAUAACCCGGCGAAAGUCGGACUAAUACCGCAUGAAGCAGGGGCCCCGCAUGGGGAUAUUUGCUAAAGAUUCAUCGCUGAUAGAUAGGCAUGCGUUCCAUUAGGCAGUUGGCGGGGUAACGGCCCACCAAACCGACGAUGGAUAGGGGUUCUGAGAGGAAGGUCCCCCACAUUGGUACUGAGACACGGACCAAACUCCUACGGGAGGCAGCAGUGAGGAAUAUUGGUCAAUGGGCGUAAGCCUGAACCAGCCAAGUCGCGUGAGGGAUGAAGGUUCUAUGGAUCGUAAACCUCUUUUAUAAGGGAAUAAAGUGCGGGACGUGUCCCGUUUUGUAUGUACCUUAUGAAUAAGGAUCGGCUAACUCCGUGCCAGCAGCCGCGGUAAUACGGAGGAUCCGAGCGUUAUCCGGAUUUAUUGGGUUUAAAGGGUGCGUAGGCGGCCUUUUAAGUCAGCGGUGAAAGUCUGUGGCUCAACCAUAGAAUUGCCGUUGAAACUAGGGGGCUUGAGUAUGUUUGAGGCAGGCGGAAUGCGUGGUGUAGCGGUGAAAUGCAUGGAUAUCACGCAGAACCCCGAUUGCGAAGGCAGCCUGCCAAGCCAUUACUGACGCUGAUGCACGAAAGCGUGGGGAUCAAACAGGAUUAGAUACCCUGGUAGUCCACGCAGUAAACGAUGAUCACUAGCUGUUUGCGAUACACUGUAAGCGGCACAGCGAAAGCGUUAAGUGAUCCACCUGGGGAGUACGCCGGCAACGGUGAAACUCAAAGGAAUUGACGGGGGCCCGCACAAGCGGAGGAACAUGUGGUUUAAUUCGAUGAUACGCGAGGAACCUUACCCGGGUUUGAACGCAUUCGGACCGAGGUGGAAACACCUUUUCUAGCAAUAGCCGUUUGCGAGGUGCUGCAUGGUUGUCGUCAGCUCGUGCCGUGAGGUGUCGGCUUAAGUGCCAUAACGAGCGCAACCCUUGCCACUAGUUACUAACAGGUAAAGCUGAGGACUCUGGUGGGACUGCCAGCGUAAGCUGCGAGGAAGGCGGGGAUGACGUCAAAUCAGCACGGCCCUUACAUCCGGGGCGACACACGUGUUACAAUGGCGUGGACAAAGGGAGGCCACCUGGCGACAGGGAGCGAAUCCCCAAACCACGUCUCAGUUCGGAUCGGAGUCUGCAACCCGACUCCGUGAAGCUGGAUUCGCUAGUAAUCGCGCAUCAGCCAUGGCGCGGUGAAUACGUUCCCGGGCCUUGUACACACCGCCCGUCAAGCCAUGGGAGCCGGGGGUACCUGAAGUCCGUAACCGAAAGGAUCGGCCUAGGGUAAAACUAGUGACUGGGGCU